GGUUGGAUGCCGUCAUGACCGAGGGUAUGCAGGCCCCUCAGCAAAUGUUACCCACUUAAGGUGAACCCCAAGGAACAAAGGGGAAUGAAAAGGUGGAGAGUUGAAAAUGAACAAGAAAAAGAAGGCAUGUGGACAUUAUAUUAUGAACUAUUGUGGUGGAAGUCAUUCUUCUUAAAGUCAAGCAGAAUUGAAGGAGGUGGUGGGAUUGUCAUUUAUUUCCAACCCCCGAUUCAGCAAACAGUUGGUCUCUGCGGUCAAUGUCAAUGAACAAAGCCCCUGGUUGAAAAGACUGAAAUAAGUGAUGAACUGACACAAGUGAGUCCUAUGAGGGAACCAAGCGGGGCCAGAGAAUUACAUGCCAAUAAUACAUGUCUUGGGGAACUUUUCCUCAAAGUCCUAUCAGGAGUGAAAUUAAUCUGGAGAUUAUAAGCCCUAACUGGACUGGGGUCCCCAAGAGAGAGAAAGGGAUUUAAGGAAGGAUGUCAAGAAAGGCCAGGAUGAGAAUUAAAAACCAAGGAGCUGUUGGCACAGAGUCCCCAUCUCGACUUGCCAAUCCAUUCUGUGAAAGCAGAGAACUGGGAUCUUGUAAAAUCAUGGAAGGAAGAAAAGCUGCAACCAAAGUGGACUGGACCCUACCUUGCGUUAUUAAUCACCGAGACAGCAGUACGAACAAAAGAAAAAGGGUGGACACACGCAAACCGAUUUAAGGGUCCUGUGGAGGCCCCACCAGACAAUAUCAGCCCGUAGACUGUGCGUGAAGGGAAGGAACCAUUGACUUUGUGCCUAUUCGGAUGUUGUAUUAUUCCCUGCGCUGGCCUUCAGAACACAGUAUGACUAGCGAGAGGAGGAUAGGGAGGCGAAGAAUCUGCUGCUAGCACUAGAAAAGGAAGAUAUAGUAUAAUUCAAAAGAUGCGUAGCAAAAAGAAAAAUGGUGGAUUGUGAGAGAAGGGUUAAUAGGGAUGAUUGAAUUAUACUAGAACU